CCUAUUAUUUAAAUCCAAUAAUUAAAAUUUUGAUUAGAUUGUCAUUGUCAAAAAUAAAUAUGUUAAAUUAAUAAAUUUUAAUAGAAACUACGGACUAAAAUUAACAACUAAAUCUUAAAUUUUGUAUUUUAACCUAAUAUUUUUAUAAUAUAAUAAUUAUAUCUACAUAAUAUUUAUUGUUUUCUCAACAUCAAAUUAUUUACUCCCAACAACGUUUUAUUUCUUCCACCAAGAAGAGCCAGUUUUAUUCUUGUCUUUUUUUGUAAAAUUUCCAAUUCAGUUCACUCAUCUCUUCUUCCUUAAGGUCUUUAGCAGAGACAGACGGGACUGCUUCAUCGAAAUAAUCGACGCAACAUCAUUACACCACAGCAAAUACCAAUCUGUUGAUAUUCUCUGUAAGAUUUCUUGUUUGCUUGUGUAUGUUUAAUCAGACCUUACAAGAUUCAAAAAAAUGUCCGAUCAGAGUUCUUCAGCAAGACCAAAAAAUAAGGGGGAAAUGCUGUGGUGGAACAGAAGACACCUUCAACUCCAAAAAUGGCUGCUAAUGAAACUGACGAGAUGAAGGGUACAAAAGUAAAAGGAAUUGAUGGUGAAAUGUAGGCUGAAAUUUGUAAAAUUUCUUACAUAAAAUUAGAAAAUAUUUCAAGCAA